rnacentral:rRNA from 1 species
AUACGGAGGGAGCAAGCGUUAUUCGGAAUCACUGGGCGUAAAGGACGCGUAGGCGGGUUUGUAAGUCAGGUGUGAAAUCCUACAGCUCAACUGUAGAACUGCACUUGAAACUACAGACCUAGAGUAUGGGAGGGGCAGAUGGAAUUAGUGGUGUAGGGGUAAAAUCCGUAGAUAUCACUAAGAAUACCGAAAGCGAAGGCGAUCUGCUGGGACAUUACUGACGCUGAGGCGUGAAAGCGUGGGGAGCAAACAGGAUUAGAAACCCUAGUAGUCC